UACGUAGGGCGCAAGCGUUGUCCGGAAUUAUUGGGCGUAAAGAGCUCGUAGGUGGCUGGUCGCGUCUGCCGUGAAAGCCCGCAGCUUAACUGCGGGUCUGCGGUGGAUACGGGCCGGCUAGAGGUAGGUAGGGGCAAGUGGAAUUCCUGGUGUAGCGGUGAAAUGCGCAGAUACCAGGAGGAACACCGGUGGCGAAGGCGGAUCUCUGGGCCGAUACUGACGCUGAGGAGCGAAAGCGUGGGGAGCGAACAGG
rnacentral:rRNA from 1 species